GCAUCAGUGGUGUAGCGGUAACAUUGGGUCUUCCCAUCUUGACGAUUUGGCCUAGCUCCGGGUUCGACUCCCGGCUGAUGCA